AUACCCUUCACUCUUUUUCUCGCGAGCCACCGCCGCCUUCCCAAUUCCCAUCCUCGAUCGCGAGCAGCUCUACUGCCGCUGCCGCCCGCCCGCCACGCACGCGGUCCUGGUCCAUCGCCCGGCGCCCGGCGCCUCCCCCCGUCGCCCUUUUCCUCCCGCCGCCACCGCCGCCCGCCAAUCUAGAAUCACAGCCGAGGCCGCCCUCUCGAGCAGAAGCCGCCACCCAAUCGCGAGCGCCGUCCCGUCCACCGACACCGCUCCAUCGCGAGCGCCGUCCCGUUCACCGACGCCGCUCCAUCGCGAGCGCCGCCCCAGCCACCGACGGCGCGCCCCGUCGUGAGGCGUCCCCCUCGACGCCCCUUCGCGAGCAGGCGGCCGGACCCCGACGCGAGACGUCCCAUGACCCACGCCCUCCGUCCCGUCCCGUUGAUCGCGUCACCGUGCCGUCGACUGCGCCGUAUUCCCGACCCCAGCUUCAGCCGUCGAAUCCGCGCCAUCGGCCAUGCGUUGCUACGCCCUGUUCCCCGCCCUCGUGAGGGAGGAGGACGACCUGCGGGCGUCGGCGCGGCUGGUCCGGGUGCUCUCGGCCGGAGGAGACGAAGCAGUUCGUGCUCGCGCUACGCGAGCCGCGAGGAGGGUUGCCGCGGGAUCGGGACGGCGGCGGCGGCGGCGGCGGCGUGAUCUACAUCCUCGCCACGCAGAACCUGACGAAGCUGUCCGCGUCGGACGCCGAUCGCCUGAUCAGGGAGGUGCGGCCGGGGGCCGUGGUCACCCAAGUCUUGCGCGCGGCCCUCGACGCCAUCCGGAUCGAGGAAGACUGCAUGUCUGGUAGCGCCGGUGGGGGCGUGCUGGUGGUGACGUCGCCGUUCCAGGUGAUCAAGAGGUGCGUCACGGAGAAGAGGAGUAAUGACCAGUAUGUUAAGGCGGCCGCCUGCCAGGUCCUGCAGGAGAUCUUCGGGGUUGGGUUCUACGGCCAUCUGCUGGCAUUGCAGAGGAGGAGGCGGGUUCGUGCUUUCUCUUGCUUUAGUCUCGGUAUGAGAAGGAAUUGUAGUGCAAUGGGGCAGGUAGCCGGAAUUGCGUUCAGCUCAGCAAUUACAGGCUAGCUGCUCGCUUCCUCACAGUACCACGGAUGAUGAAUCAGGUUUGCAAUUGCAGGCUAGCUGCUUGGUCCCAGGAAUGCCACUUCAAUUGUAAGUAAGGGUGGUAAAGGGUCCUCUAAUUUAAACUAACAAAUUGAAUGGUCGGACUCAAUAAGAGCCGGGCUAUAAAUUUAUAUAAUUUUGAAUUAAAAAUAGAUAGAGCUAACUUGAAUUGUGAAUGAGGCAUGAGGGCCAUGAUCCAUUACCACCUCUAAUUGUAAGCCGUCGAACAAGCAUUCACUCAAACAAUUAUGCUCGCCACAAUUCUAGGACCGGAGUCGACACUGCAAUGAUUUAUAAGGUUAUCCAAAUAAGCAUUUGAAUUUCGAUUUUGAUAAUGGUAACGUUCUAUUGUAGUGAUGCAUGAUGCCCACAUUUGUUUUUGGGUUGUUUCACUGUGGGUUUCCUAUUAGUUUUGUUCAAUCUAACUGGAAAAUGGUGUGAAGUUUUAUGUGUUUUGAUCAUUAGACAUUGCGUCACCCUGAUGAACAAUUUUGACUAUUGGAGAUUCCACAGCAUUGAUGGACAGCACGGAGUCGGAUGACCCUAGCGAUUGGCUGCACAGGCCUGAUCCAUAUAUGCUAUAAAUGCUGCUUGGUCAGCAGCACUACAUACAGACAUAUAUUUCUUGUGGUUUCAACUGUCAAAGGUAUUCAAUUUGAGACCAACUGUGAAGCUGGUGUUUUCUCCAUGCUGUGUGGUUGCAAUCAGAGGCUCAGAGAAGUUGUAUAGGUCAGUAUUACUUAUCAAUGGUACUAUAGUAGAUAUUUGAGCAGUUCAAAAUCCAAAAUAGUAUCUCAUGUAGUUGUGAUGUUAGGAACAUUUCUGUUGCUUUUUCUGUUUUUUUUACUGAGAGCCAUAACCUAUAGACAAGUGAGUCUUGCUAUAUUUGUCAGCUAUUACACGUCACUUAAACCUCUAUUGGUCAUGAUGAAUGUGAUGGACUGGGGAUUUGUCAGUUCUUUGAAUAAUGUUUUGACUUGUGUCUGUCACAGUAAAGAUAUACCACCUUCUCUUCAGGCAAGCAAUGGUACUUUAACAGUGGUUUUCAAUAAUGGAUGACAUGAUUUGUCUCAUAAACAAUCAAUUGUUUCAUGACGUCAUUGACAUAGGCAUGUUAGAAUAUUAUGUUGAUAAAUAUAGUGAUUUUUAUUGAGAUUUUGAUAUACAUGCUUGAGAUUUGGUGCGGCUGCUUAAGACCUAAUCACGAGGGUUUUUGCUUGAUUUUUUGGAUGGUUUUGAGUUCCUUCCAUUAAACUUCCUUCUGUACAAAUUAUAUGUGCAUUAGGCAUAAUAUGUUCCAUAUAUGCAUAAUGAAGAAAUUAUAUGUGGCAUUAUCUCAAUUGUGCAUUUUAGUGUUCAUUGUUCAUUUUUGGUUGAUAAUACCAUUAAAAUUGAUGCUCCUAGUAGCUUACAACAUUAUGUUGCUUCAAGAUCAACUUAGAACAUUAGAAUGACAUUUAUCUAUGAUUUGUGUUACCCGUAGCAAGGUACGGGCACCAUCCUGUUGGGGGGAAAUAUUAUCGAUCUCCCCAAGCCCAUGGAAACAACAAAACGUAA